AGAGUUUGAUCCUGGCUCAGAACGAACGCUGGCGGCAGGCCUAACACAUGCAAGUCGAACGCCCCGCAAGGGGAGUGGCAGACGGGUGCGUAACACGUGGGAACAUACCCUUUGGUUCGGAAUAACUCAGGGAAACUUGAGCUAAUACCGGAUAAGCCCGAGAGGGGAAAGAUUUAUCGCCAAAGGAUUGGCCCGCGUCC
rnacentral:rRNA from 1 species